rnacentral:rRNA from 1 species
GUGGGGAAUUUUGGACAAUGGGCGAAAGCCUGAUCCAGCCAUGUCGCGUGCAGGAUGAAGGCCUUCGGGUUGUAAACUGCUUUUGUACGGAACGAAAAGACUCCUUCUAAUAAAGGGGGUCCAUGACGGUACCGUAAGAAUAAGCACCGGCUAACUACGUGCCAGCAGCCGCGGUAAUACGUAGGGUGCAAGCGUUAAUCGGAAUUACUGGGCGUAAAGCGUGCGCAGGCGGUUAUAUAAGACAGAUGUGAAAUCCCCGGGCUCAACCUGGGAACUGCAUUUGUGACUGUAUAGCUAGAGUACGGUAGAGGGGGAUGGAAUUCCGCGUGUAGCAGUGAAAUGCGUAGAUAUGCGGAGGAACACCGAUGGCGAAGGCAAUCCCCUGGACCUGUACUGACGCUCAUGCACGAAAGCGUGGGGAGCAAACAGGAUUAGAUACCCCUGUAGUCC